CGCCAUUCUUCUAAAAGUGCAAAAGAUAAAUCAUCAUGAUCUUAUAAAAACAAACGGUUUUUGCCCAAUCUAAUAGUCGUAAAUGGGUGUUUUUUCCGAUCGACGGCCACCAUUCCUCUAAAAGUGCAAAAGAUAAAUCAUAAUCUUACAAAAACAAAUGGUUUUUGCCCAAUCUAAUGGUCGUAAAUUGGUGUUUUUUUUCCGAUCGACGGCCGCCAUUCCUGUAAAAGUGCAAAAGAUAAAUCAUGGCUUAGAAUGAACUCCUUUUUUAAGACCUAAUCUGACGUCCCAAACAUCUUCUUGCGUUUAAUACCCUCUUCCCUUACAAAACCCAAAUCACGAUAUCUUCUUGCACUUAAUCCCGUCUUCCGUUACAGAAGUAAAUUAGAGCUCUUCCUCGGAUUGUUCUCCUCCAUUAACAACGACGUUUUUUACGCCGUUCAAUCCCUUUGAUUCAUAACCGGAUAAUCAAUUUGAUGCGUUACGUUAGAAGAGCUACAUAAACCUCGACAUAGGUUAUCAUCUUCCCAUGUUUCUCCAUUUCUUUCAUCGGCAUACUCUCUCACGACUAUUAGGUACAUUCGAAGAAUAUUACAACCAAAACGCACAACUAAAGACAGAACCAGACUAGCAGUAGUUGGUUUAGCUAAAGAGCUUAAUGUUUCAGAAACCAACCAAUCUACCGAUAUCCAUUCUGCAUUCUGUAAAAAUGCAAACACCACAGAAUUUCCAUUAAAAGAGGUCACAAAGCUAGCUAAAUUUGUCGGUCUUACUCUUUUUUGUAGUUGUAGGUAAUGCCAUCCUUCCCUAUAUUGCACCCAGUCAUGCUAAAGUGAUCUUUAUGAUUUCGGGUUUACAGACACUAUACAUGUGAAUUUUUUGUUUUGUGAGAUGUGAGAAAACCCUUCUUAAAAAAGGAUAUAAUGGCCAAAAGCAGGUGGUAUGCACCAUUAAGACAGUAAAACUCUGAUUUGCUGCUUUGGAACUACUUCAUUAUAAAAUGCAUGACCCGUAUGGUUCCGUCUUAUUGUUUACUGAAAGGGAGUAAACGCUGUGCUUAAAGGAGGUGGUCGAAAUUUACACUUACAUGAAUGAUCGUGUUUUUACGACUAAUGAAGCCUGAACGAAUGGGAACUAGCCUUUCUAUUCUUGGAGGUUGAAAAUAGUUUCCCUACUCUGGGAACGGAAAACAGGUCGAAAUCCCACAAAGAAAGUGAUGUAGAUUGAAAGGCGGGACUUUAUGCGACAAUAGGCGCAUCAUGAACAUAGAUGUGUGGACGCUCAUCUUGAGAAGGAAUCUACCUUUUUACAUCUUGGAGCAGAUCCUACCGGAUCUGAUUAAAUACUGGGUCUUCUUCGUCACCUUGGGGUUUACUGCACAAGACCCCUGCAGAGGUAAUUCUCCCUACAAAUAGAAUACACUCAGCUUCGCAUCCUCCACAAGUGUUUUCAUUUGUCUAUUUCACGUUUAUAGAUUAGAAGUUGUAAACUUUUUUUUAUCUAAGUUCAAAGUCUCAACGGAUGCUAGUGGGCAGGGGACUGUCUCCCUAUUUUUCAUUCCAUGAGGAAACAUCAAGGGAGCUAUCGGUUCCAUCAUUAGCUCCUCCCUUUAAUAACGAGACAAGCUCUACCACCAUAUGAAUACUUCCAAGUUCGUUCCCGUAUCUACCACGCCUCUUCCUGCUAAUAUCUCCUGAUCACAACUGCUGCUAAGAACCGUUGUUCGUUUGUCGAUACUAGUGCCCGAGCUUCACCAUAGCAACAACCACUACGGACAGAGUCAGGGACUUCUUCAACACAAGAGAGAUGGUCAAUCAAGGAGCAUGUAAUUCGCAAGGGAAAAUUAAACUGAAGAAGAAGCCGCUUCAACGCUCUUCAGAGGAAGCCGGUUCAACGCUCUCCAGAAGAAACCUCUUCAAUGCUCUCUCCAGAAGAAACCUCUUCAAUGCUCUCUCCAGAAGAAGCCGCUUCAACGCUCUCCAGAAGAAGCCUUUUCAAUGUUCUCUUCAGAGGAAGCCGCUUCAACGCUCUCUCCAGGGUCCGCCUCGACGUUCGUUUCAAAAGCUGCUUCAACACUAUCUCCAGGGUCCGCCUCGACGUUCGCUUCAAAAGGUGCUUCAACACUCUCUCCAGGAUCCGGUUCGAUGUUUGCUCCAGAAGCCGCUUCAACGCUCUCUCCAAAAGCCGCUUCAACACGCCUUCCGGAAGCUACA